rnacentral:rRNA from 1 species
AUAAAUUUAAUGGCUGCAGUAUUUUAACUGUACAAAGGUAGCAUAAUAAUUAGUUCCUUAAUUAGGGACUGGAAUGAAGGAUUGAACGAGAUAAAAAUUGUCUCUUUUUAAAUUUUAUAAUUUUAUUUUUAAGUUAAAAAGCUUAAAUAAUAUUAAAAGACGAGAAGACCCUAUAGAGUUUUAUAAUUAUAAUGUAUUUAAAUUUUAGAAAUAAAAUUUUAUUUAUAUAGUAAUUAUUUGAUUGGGGUGAUUUUAAAAUUUAAAAAACUUUGAUAUUUUUUACAUUUCUAUAUGAUUAACUGAUCCAUAAAUUAUGAUUAAAAGAUUAAAUUACCUUAGGGAUAACAGCGUAAUUUUUUUAAAGAGUUCUUAUCGAAAAAAAAGAUUGCGACCUCGAUGUUGGAUUAAAAUAAAUUUUUGGUGUAGAAGCUGAAAUAUUAGGUCUGUUCGACCUUUAAAAUUUUACAUGAUCUGAGUUUAAAUCGGCGUGAGCCAGGUUGGUUUCUAUCUUUAAUUAAAUAAAAUAUUUUAGUACGAAAGGACCAUAUAUUUAUAAAGUUUAUUUAUUUAUGAUUAAUAUUA